GGUGAGGUGGCCGAGCGGUCUAAGGCGCCAGACUAAGGUCCAUGCUGAUUUCCAGCAACAAAAUCUGGUCCGAAAGGGCAUGGGUUCGAAUCCCAUCCUCAUCA